CUGGAGCUCGAACCAUUUGAAGUUGGGGCAGAUUUUUUUUACAAACUGUUAGAUGAAACUGCAUGGAUGAGCUCGAGGCACCUUGACAUGGCCAUGUUUCUAAUACGCAAAAGACAACUCUCUCAUCCACAACUAUUUGGAAGGGAGUGGACAACCGCCGAGUUUUGUCUGCAGCAAUUUUUACAGCCGUUUGCAAUGCCAAGUGGGAAACGAGUCACGAGGAAACAAUAUGCUGCAAGGACCGUUGACCCUCCCCCUAACUACCUCAAAAAUGUACACCACUUUGUCAAUGGGUCAUGGCAACAUGGGUAUGCGCAAGC